rnacentral:rRNA from 1 species
ACGGAGGUCCCGAGCGUUGUUCGGAAUUACUGGGCGUAAAGGGAGCGCAGGCGGACGGGUCAGUCUGAAGUGGAAAUCCGGGGCUCAACCUCGGACUUGCUUCGGAUACUGCCUGUCUUGAGUUCGUGAGAGGAAGAUGGAAUUCAGGGUGUAGCGGUGAAAUGCUCAGAUAUCCUGAGGAACACCAGUGGCGAAAGCGGUCUUCUGGCACGAAACUGACGCUGAGGCUCGAAAGCGUGGGUAGCAAACAG